rnacentral:rRNA from 1 species
AUGUCCUUCGCGGGUUUAUCUGUCAUCGCCGACGGCAAGAUCCUGAGCAAAGCAGCCUCACCUGCCAUAGCUGGCACUAGCGGGUACCAUUUGCUUGUCGUCGAAGGCCUCUCGCGCACUCCAGCGGGCGAGCCCUUUUUGUCACGCUGCAUCACAGUCGGAGGCACUCAUUUGCAUAUCCUCUGCUACCCCAACGGCAAUAACACUGACAACGCCGGCUUCAUCUCACUUAGUAUUUUCCUCCGAAAGGUAGCCACUGGAACCGAAGAGCCCGUGAAGGCGCAGGUCGAGUUCAGUUUCGUGGACGAGACGGAGAAGCAGGAGCCGGCACGCAUCCAUGCAAGCAGAGUACUCGAGUUCCAACUCUGGGAGGAGACAGAAGAAUUCCACAAGUUCGUGCGAAGGGACGUCCUGGAGAAAUCCAAACACUUCAAGGACGACAGCUUCACCAUCCGCUGCGACAUCGUAGUCCUAGAUCCGAUAUGCGUCGACACUUUGGCCUCUAUCGUAGUGCCGCCGUCGGACAUGCAAAGAAACUUCAACGACCUUCUCAUUGCAGGGGAGGGCGCCGAUGUUACCUUCCAGGUCGGCGGUGAGACGUUUGCCGCACACCGCUGCGUCCUCGCUGCACGCUCUACCGUCUUCAAGGCAGCUCUCUUUGGCCACAUGAAGGAAGGCACGUCGUCGGCCGUCGUGCAGAUAGACGACAUGGACGCGGCGGUGUUCAAGGCAAUGCUCGGGUUCAUCUACGGAGACUCGCUGCCCGUGCCAAGGACGGAUGAGAACGAGGGCGAGGGGGUCCUGCUGCAACACCUGCUCGUCGCGGCGGACAGGUACGACCUCCGAAGGCUUAGAGCGAUGUGCGAGAAGAAACUCCACAUCGAAGUGGGCACGCUGACCACCAUCCUGGCACUCGCCGAGCAACACGACUGUGUCUGGCUGAAGAAGGCAAGCUAUGAGUUUCUCCGUAGCCCGCCGAACCUGAGGGCUGUCGUAGAGACAGAAGGGUUUGAACAUCUGUGCAGCAGCUGCCCCACUCUUAUGAAGGACAUGCUCCUUGGCGUGCUGCCGCCUAAUUAUUUCACAAUUCGGUGUGAUGUCAUUGUUGUGGCGGGGGAUGUGAUCCCCACCACCACUUCUCCCUUCAUCACGGUGCCGCCCUCCGACAUGCAACAGAAUUUCACCGACCUUCUCGUGGCUGGAGAGGGUACAGAUGUGGUCUUCCAGGUCGGUAACGAGGCUUUGGCCGCCCACCGGUGCAUCCUUGCGGCCCGCUCUACCGUCUUCAGGGCGGCCCUCUUCGGCCCCAUGAAGAAAGGCACAUCUCCGACGGUGGUUCAGGUGGAUGACAUGAAUGGGACGGUGUUUAAGGCGAUGCUAGGUUUCAUCUAUGGUGACACGCUACCUUUCCCUGCGGCAGACAAAAACGAAGGCGUCCUGCUGCAGCACCUACUCGUGGCGGUGGACAGGUACGACCUCCGGAGGCUGAGAUUGAUGUGCGAGAAGAAGCUGUGCGAGCACAUCCGUGUGGGCACAGCGACGACCAUUCUGGCCCUUGCGGACCUGCACCACUGUGACGGGCUGAAGAAGGCGUGCUAUGAGUUUCUCCGAUAUCCGGCGAACCUGAGGGCGGUUGUGGAGACGGAAGGUUUUGAACAUCUCUGCAGCAGUUACCCCACUCUUAUGAAGGACAUGCUCCUCGGCGUGCUGCCUUCUAAGUAG